UACGGAGGAUGCAAGCGUUAUCCGGAUUCAUUAGGUAUAAAGGGUGCGUAGGCGGAUUUGUAAGUCAGUGGUGAAAUACUAUAGCUUAACUAUAGAACUGCCAUUGAUACUGCAAGUCUUGAGUACAAUUGAGGUAGGCGGAAUGUGUGGUGUAGCGGUGAAAUGCUUAGAUAUCACACAGAACACCGAUUGCGAAGGCAGCUUACUAAACUGUAACUGACGCUGAUGCACGAAAGCAUGGGGAGCAAACAGGAUUAGAUACCCUGGUAGUCCAUGCCGUAAACGAUGAUCACUCGCUGUAUGUCCAUUAGGAUAUGUGGCUGAGCUAACGCAUUAAGUGAUCCACCUGGGGAGUACGGCGGCAACGCUGAA
rnacentral:rRNA from 1 species